rnacentral:tRNA from 1 species
UUUCCUUAGUUUAAAUGGUAGAAUAUCAUUAUUACGAAAAUGUAUGAUUUGGUUCGAUUCCAAAAGGGGGAU